GGGGCUGUAGCUCAGUGGAUAGAGCAGCGGUUUCCUAAACCGCGUGCCGGAGGUUCAAUUCCCCCCAGCCCCACCA
rnacentral:tRNA from 1 species